rnacentral:rRNA from 1 species
GACGAACGCUGGCGGCGUGCUUAACACAUGCAAGUCGAACGGAAAGGCCCUGCUUGCAGGGUGCUCGAGUGGCGAACGGGUGAGUAACACGUGGGUGAUCUGCCCCUUACUUUGGGAUAAGCCUGGGAAACUGGGUCUAAUACUGGAUAGGACCAUGCUGUAGGUGGUGUGGUGGAAAGAUUAGUUUCGGUAAGGGAUGAGCUCGCGGCCUAUCAGCUUGUUGGUGGGGUAAUGGCCUACCAAGGCGUCGACGGGUAGCCGGCCUGAGAGGGUGGACGGCCGCAUUGGGACUCAGAUACGACCCAGACUCCUACGGGAGGCAGCAGUGGGGAAUAUUGGACAAUGGGCGCAAGCCGGAUGCAGCGACGCCGCGUGGGGGAUGACGGCCUUCGGGUUGUAAACUCCUUUCAGCCAUGACGAAGCCCUUGUGGUGACGGUAGUGGUAGAAGAAGCACCGGCUAACUACGUG